GCCUGAGGAUGGGACUGCGGCCUAUCAGGCUGUUGGUGGUGUAACGGACCACCAAACCUACGACGGGUACGGGCGAUGGGAGUCGGAGCCCGGAGAUGGGGACUGAGACAAGGCCCCAGGCCCUACGGGGCGCAGCAGGCGCGAAAACUCCGCAAUGCGCGCAAGCGUGACGGGGGGACCCCAAGUGCCGUUGGUCUUUUGAUCGACGGCUUUUCGGGAGUCUAAGAAGCUCCCGGAAUAAGGGCUGGGUAAGGCUGGUGCCAGCCGCCGCGGUAACACCAGCAGCCCAAGUGGUGGCCACGAUUAUUGGGCCUAAAGCGCUCGUAGCCGGGUCAGCAAGUCCCUUGUGAAAUCGGGCCGCCUAACGGUUCGGCGUGCAAGGGAUACUGUUGGUCUUGAGGCCGGGAGAGGUCGGAGGUACUCCUGGGGUAGCGGUGAAAUGCUCUAAUCCUAGGGGGACCACCAGUGGCGAAGGCGUCCGACCAGAACGGACCUGACGGUGAGGGGCGAAGGCUAGGGGAGCGAACGGGAUUAGAUACCCCGGUAGUCCUAGCUGUAAAGCAUGCGGGCUAGGUGUCUAGCGCUCCUCGAGGGCGCUAGGUGCCGGAGGGAAGCCGUUGAGCCCGCCGCCUGGGAAGUACGGCCGCAAGGCUGAAACUUAAAGAAAUUGGCGGGGGAGCACCACA
rnacentral:rRNA from 1 species